UUAUAAAAUUAAAAUUUUAAUAUUUACAAGUAGAUACAUAUAAUAAUUUGAGCGUAAAAUGUACGUUAUAGAGUGUAAUAUGAAUCUAGCGAGUGCUUAUUGUGAUACGAAUGAAGUAAAACAAGAUUUUGACCCUAUUAACUCUUGUCGGGUGUGCCUUUCACAAAAUAUUAAUAUGGUAAAUAUAUUUGAAGACAGUAAUAAUGAAAUAAUGGAUAAAAUUGAAUUCUGUACUGGUAUUCAAUUGAAAGAAGAAAAGGGCCUACCCACAAAUAUAUGUGAUAACUGCUUAAAAGAACUAUCAAUAGCUUACAAGUUCAAAGCUAUAUGCCUACUCUCAGCGCAGACACUCCAACAGAUUCAUUUAAAGAAAGUAAAAGUUGAAUUAUCGGACAAAAAUGACGAUGUACUCGUUACCGUCAAAAUCGAUGAAGUCAACGACAGUUGUGAUUUAAAAGAAGUGGAAGUUGAGAGAGAUGUUUGUGAAGAUUAUUCAUCGGAUAAAGAAGAAAAAGGUCAACCAAAUAUAGCAAAAGUUGAAGGACCAAAAUUGUUAACAGAAAAGCAGAGUGAAACAGAAAACAAGGUGAUAAGUAAACGCGGCCCGUACAAGAAGGGUGGGAGUCCACGCGUGAGGAAGUUCAAAUUCAGUCGGUUAAGGUGUGAACCGUGCAACCUCAAGUUUACGUCCAAGCAGGAGUCGGACAAGCACAAGAAGGAAGCGCACUUGGAGAAUACGAGCUGGAUCUGUGAAGUGUGCGGCAAGGCGUUCGUGCACCGCAGCUCGCUGUACACGCACGCGCGCUCGCACCUCCCGCCGCGCUACGCGUGCGAGCACUGCGACUACAGCUCCGGCAUCAAGUACGACCUCGAGAAGCACCUCCGGACGCACUUCGGCGUGAAGAAGUACGCGUGCGCCUCGUGCGCGGCGCGCUUCCACACGACGUCCAACCUGCGCUCGCACGAGCGCCGCGCGCACCGCCCGCCCGACCAGCGCUACGCGUGCGCGCGCUGCGAGCGGCGCUUCCACGACCGCACCAAGCUGCGCCGGCACCUCGACGCGCACGACCACGUCAAACGGUUUAAAUGCGAUCACUGUCUCGCGCGAUUCUCUCGUCGCUGUCACUGGAAGCGGCACCUGGAGAGACAGCACGCCGUGUCGGUGCCCCCCCAGCGGCCCGGCCGGCGACCCACGCGCCUGCUGCUGGGGGAGCAGCCGCAGUGACGCGCAGCGACGCAGUCGCGGGGACACUCGUGGCGACUCGCAGGCCGCCGGGAGAGGAUCUCUUCGUGACGGUCACAUCACGAGCGGCUGAGGGUGGAUUGCGGAUUGCUCCGGCGAUCGGUCUACCAGCUUUUCUUGUACGAUAUCACAUCACGAAGCGACGAGUAGCGAGCGAACGAACGGACGGACGGAGCGCAUAGCUUUGCAUAAGAGACGUCCUCGGUAGAGACGAUCAUACGUAUGGUGCUCGAAGCUGCUGAGAUUAGUACAAUACACCUAUUUAUUUACAUAUAUGUACAUAUUAUGUAGUUAUCGAUAUGACUCACGUCACUAGGUGUGAUAUGUAUUUAUUAUGUAAAUAAAACAAAUUAAAUAAUG